AACGCUAGCUACAGGCUUAACACAUGCAAGUCGAGGGGAAACGAUGAGAGAGCUUGCUCUCUUAGGCGUCGACCGGCGCACGGGUGAGUAACGCGUAUCCAACCUACCCAUUACAGGGGGAUAACCUUGCGAAAGUAAGACUAAUACCCCAUGGCAUUUUAUGGUGGCAUCAUUAUAGGAUUAAAGAUUUAUUGGUAAUGGAUGGGGAUGCGUCUGAUUAGCUUGUUGGCGGGGUAACGGCCCACCAAGGCAACGAUCAGUAGGGGUUCUGAGAGGAAGGUCCCCCACAUUGGAACUGAGACACGGUCCAAACUCCUACGGGAGGCAGCAGUGAGGAAUAUUGGUCAAUGGGCGAGAGCUUGAACCAGCCAAGUAGCGUGCAGGAUGACGGCCCUAUGGGUUGUAAACUGCUUUUAUAGGGGAAUAAAGUGAGCUACGUGUAGUUUAUUGCAUGUACCCUAUGAAUAAGGACCGGCUAAUUCCGUG
rnacentral:rRNA from 1 species